GACGAACGCUGGCGGCGUGCUUAACACAUGCAAGUCGAACGGAAAGGCCCUGCUUGCAGGGUGCUCGAGUGGCGAACGGGUGAGUAACACGUGGGUGAUCUGCCCCUUACUUUGGGAUAAGCCUGGGAAACUGGGUCUAAUACUGGAUAGGACCAUGCUGUAGGUGGUGUGGUGGAAAGAUUAGUUUCGGUAAGGGAUGAGCUCGCGGCCUAUCAGCUUGUUGGUGGGGUAAUGGCCUACCAAGGCGUCGACGGGUAGCCGGCCUGAGAGGGUGGACGGCCGCAUUGGGACUGAGAUACGGCCCAGACUCCUACGGGAGGCAGCAGUGGGGAAUAGUGCACAAUGGGCGCAAGCCUGAUGCAGCGACGCCGCGUGGGGGAUGACGGCCUUCGGGUUGUAAACGCCGUGCAGCCAUGACGAAGCCCUUGUGGUGACGGUAGUGGUAGAAGAAGCACCGGCUAACUACGUG
rnacentral:rRNA from 1 species